rnacentral:misc_RNA from 1 species
UCCUGGUUAACCCAGGCAGUCUCAUUAGAGUUCCCACCCUAAGUGUUGGCAACUAAUGAUAAGGGUUGCGCUCGUUGCUGGACUUAACCAAACACCUCACGGCACGAGCUGACGACAGCCAUGCAGCACCUGUGCAGAUGCCCCGAAGGGAAGUUACAUCUCUGUAACGAUCAUCUGCAUGUCAAGCCUGGGUAAGGUUCUUCGCGUUGCAUCGAAUUAAACCACAUGCUCCACUGCUUGUGCGGGUCCCCGUCAAUUCUUUUGAGUUUCACCCUUGCGAGCGUACUCCUCAGGCGGUAUACUUAUCGCGUUAGCUUCGGCACAACCAGGGUUGAUUCCGGUUACACCAAGUAUACAUCGUUUACGGCAAGGACUAC